GAGUUUGAUCAUGGCUCAGGAGGAACGCUGGCGGCGUGCCUAACACAUGCAAGUCGAGCGAGAAAUAGUCAGACGGAGAUUUCGGUUGAAGGAUGGUUAUGGAAAGCGGCGGACGGGUGAGUAACGCGUAGGCAACCUGCCUCAUGCAGAGGGAUAGCCUCGGGAAACCGGGAUUAAAACCUCAUAAGGCCAAGGGGACACAUGUUUUCGUGGUCAAAGAUUUAUCGGCAUGAGAUGGGCCUGCGUCUGAUUAGCUGGUUGGUGAGGUAACGGCUCACCAAGGCGACGAUCAGUAGCCGACCUGAGAGGGUAAACGGCCACAUUGGAACUGAGACACGGUCCAAACUCCUACGGGAGGCAGCAGUGGGGAAUAUUGCACAAUGGGCGAAAGCCUGAUGCAGCAACGCCGCGUGAGCGAAGAAGGCCUUUGGGUCGUAAAGCUCUGUCGAUAGGGAAGAAAAAGAUGACGUACCUAUCAAGAAAGCCCCGCA
rnacentral:rRNA from 1 species